CCCGCAACGAGCGCAACCCUUGCCUUUAGUUGCCAGCAGUUCGGCUGGGCACUCUAAAGGGACUGCCGGUGUUAAACCGGAGGAAGGUGGGGGAUGACGUCAAGUCCUCAUGGCCUUUAUGACCAGGGCUACACACGUACUACAAUGGCCGAUACAAAGGGCAGCGACACUGCGAGGUGAAGCCAAUCCCGUAAAAUCGGUCUCAGUCCGGAUUGGAGUCUGCAACUCGACUCCAUGAAGUUGGAAUCGCUAGUAAUCGUGGAUCAGCAUGCCACGGUGAAUACGUUCCCGGGCCUU
rnacentral:rRNA from 1 species